CUAGGUUGGCGAAAAUUUUUCCUGGUUGUGAUGUCGGGCCAACUUCAUGUCAGUGGAAAUAUAAGAAGAGGAGGCUUAUAGUAACUGAACUUGGGGAGGCUCAGAAGGUCACAACUUGACGAGAGAUGGAGAUGAGAGGAAGCGUAGCAGCUUGGCUUCUUCUAGAGCUGCUGCUAAUACUAGAGAUUGAUGGGGGCCAAAGUGCCCUACACUAUAGUAGGGACGACUUCCCACCGGACUUCGUCUUCGGUGCCGGAACCUCGGCAUACCAGGUGGAGGGAGCAGCAGCUGAGGAUGGAAGGAGUCCUUGCAUUUGGGAUACUUUUACUCAUGCAGGAAAGAUGCCGGACAAGAGCACGGGCGAUGUGGCUUCCGAUGGGUACCACAAAUACAAGGAAGAUGUCAAGCUUAUGACAGAUACAGGACUGGAGGCCUACAAAUUCUCCAUCUCUUGGUCAAGACUUCUCCCAAAUGGGAGAGGAGCUGUCAAUCCAAAAGGCCUUGAGUUUUAUAACAAUCUCAUCAACGAGCUGUUAAAACAUGGAAUUCAGCCACAUGCUUCACUCUAUCAUCUAGAUCUUCCCCAAGUACUUGAAGAUGAGUAUGGAGGAUGGCUGAGCCCUAAGAUUGUAGAUGAUUUCACAGCAUACGCAGAUGUGUGUUUUAGGGAAUUUGGUGACAGAGUUUCCCACUGGACCACCAUUAUAGAACCCAACAUCAUGGCGAUUGCUGCCUAUGACAGCGGAACAUUCCCACCCAAUCGGUGUUCUUAUCCAUUUGGCAUCAAUUGUACAGCAGGCAAUUCCAGUGUAGAGCCAUACAUCGUGAAUCACCAUGCCCUACUGGCACAUGCAUCAGCUGUCACACUGUAUCGGACUAAAUAUCAAGUUAUGCAAAAUGGCUGGAUAGGCUUGAAUGUGUAUACUUUCUGGGCUUAUGCAUUUACAAACUCCACAGCAGAUGUUCAAGCAGCCCAAAGAUCAUUAGACUUCAUGAUAGGCUGGAUCAUAAAUCCCCUAGUAUUUGGAGACUACCCUGAGGUCAUGAAGAAAAACGCUGGUUCAAGGCUACCAUCCUUCAACAAAGACCAGUCCAAACAAGUGAAGGGUUCAUUCGACUUUGUUGGUCUGAAUCACUAUUUUUCGGCAUAUGUCAGUGAUAACUCCAAUGGUUCCAGGACAGAUCUUCGAGACUACAAUGCAGAUAUCUUUGCAAAAUUCACAGUAUCAAAGAAUAUAACACCCACUGAUCAGCUUAUCCCAGUUCCUGCACCAGCAGAUCCCCAAGGGCUGCAAUAUAUGUUGGAGUAUCUUAAAGAAGCCUAUGGAAAUCCUCCCAUUUAUAUCCAAGAAAAUGGUCAGUCCGCUUCCAAGGUUAUGGAGUAGGAAUAUUCAACGACACAAUCCAUGACACCGCCAGGAUAGAUUUCUUGAGUGGCUUCAUUGGAAGCACACUAGAUGCUGUCAGGAAUGGAUCGGAUGUGAGAGGAUACUUUGUGUGGUCAUUUUUAGAUGUAUUUGAGCUCUUGGCUGGGUAUAGAUCACGCUUUGGGCUCUACUUUGUGGAUUUUGAUGAUGAGAAGCGUGAAAGGGUUCCAAAGCUCUCUGCCUUUUGGUACUCCAACAUCCUCAAGAAGAAGCAAGAUAUGAACAUAGAAAGGACUGGUCUAAAUGCCACCUCUCAUGCUCAGCAGUGAGACUGCUUCAGAUUAUCCCUUUUGGCCUACAAUGGAGAGGAGAGCGAGAAGUCAAUGCACACAGCUACCUUCUGCCAAAUCAGAUUAUGUGUGAUGUGCACUCCCUAAAUGGCUCAGUAAUUCAAAGUUAUGAGAUUAAUAAGUUAUAAUCAGCAGGGAAAGUUACAAUCCAGUUGCAUGUAAAUGUUCAGUAAGCUAUUUCAGUUUCCAUGCAGUGGCAUUUAUGCUAUCAAUGCACUUCUUCCCUUAUAUUUUCACA